rnacentral:rRNA from 1 species
UACCAGCACCCCGAGUGGUCGGGCCGAUUAUUGGGCCUAAAGCAUCCGUAGCCGGCCUUACAAGUCCUCCGUUAAAUCCAGCUGCUUAACAGAUGGGCUGCGGAGGAUACUAUAAGACUAGGAGGCAGGAGAGGCAAGCGGUACUCAGUGGGUAGGGGUAAAAUCCGUUGAUCCAUUGAAGACCACCAGUGGCGAAGGCGGCUUGCCAGAAUGCGCUCGACGGUGAGGGAUGAAAGCUGGGGGAGCAAACCGG